CCAGACUCCUACGGGAGGCAGCAGUGGGGAAUAUUGCACAAUGGGGGGAACCCUGAUGCAGCGACGCCGCGUGAGUGAAGAAGUAUUUCGGUAUGUAAAGCUCUAUCAGCAGGGACGAAGAUGACGGUACCUGCAGAAGAAGCCCCGGCUGACUACGUGCCAGCAGCCGCGGUAAUACAGAGGGUGCGAGCGUUAAUCGGAAUUACUGGGCGUAAAGCGCUCGUAGGCGGUAUGUCAAGUCAAGGGUGAAAUCCCCGCGCUCAACGUGGGAACUGCCUUUGAAACUGGCAAACUGGAGUGUGUGAGAGGAUAGUGGAAUUCCAGGUGUAGGAGUGAAAUCCGUAGAUAUCUGGAGGAACAUCAGUGGCGAAGGCGACUAUCUGGCACAUAACUGACGCUGAGGAGCGAAAGCGUGGGUAGCAAACAGGAUUAGAUACCCUGGUAU
rnacentral:rRNA from 1 species